CUAAGGAAUAUUUCCGGCAAUGGACGAAAGUCCGACGGAGCGACGCCGCGUGGAUGAUGAAGGUCGGAAGAUUGUAAAAUCCUUUUAUAACUGAGGAAUAAGCAGUGUGAGAGAAACGCAUUGUGGUGACUGUAGGUUAUGAAUAAGCAACGGCUAAUUACGUGCCAGCAGCCGCGGUAACACGUAAGUUGCGAGCGUUGUUCGGAAUUAUUGGGCGUAAAGGGCAUGUAGGCGGUUUUGCAAGCUUGGUGUGAAAUUCCGGAGCUCAACUCCGGAACUGCGUUGAGAACUGCAUAACUAGAGUCACUGAGGGGCAAUC
rnacentral:rRNA from 1 species